CCUACGGGAGGCAGCAGUGAGGAAUAUUGGUCGAUGGGCGAGAGCCUGAACCAGCCAAGUCGCGUGAGGGAGUACUGCCCUAUGGGUUGUAAACCUCUUUUGUCGGGGAGCAAAAGCCGGACGUGUCCGGCUGUGAGAGUACCCGAAGAAAAAGCAUCGGCUAACUCCGUGCCAGCAGCCGCGGUAAUACGGAGGAUGCGAGCGUUAUCCGGAUUUAUUGGGUUUAAAGGGUGCGCAGGCGGAUUUUUAAGUCAGCGGUAAAAUCGUGGGGCUCAACCCCAUCCAGCCGUUGAAACUGGGGAUCUAGAGUGUGCGAGAGGUAUGCGGAAUGCGUGGUGUAGCGGUGAAAUGCAUAGAUAUCACGCAGAACCCCGAUUGCGAAGGCAGCAUACCGGUGCACAACUGACGCUCAGGCACGAAAGCGUGGGUAUCGAACAGGAUUAGAUACCCCGGUAGUC
rnacentral:rRNA from 1 species